rnacentral:rRNA from 1 species
GCAACUCGACUGCAUGAAGCUGGAAUCGCUAGUAAUCGCGAAUCAGAAUGUCGCGGUGAAUACGUUCCCGGGCCUUGUACACACCGCCCGUCACACCAUGGGAGUUGGAAGCACCCGAAGUCGGUGACCUGACCGAAAGGGAGGAGCCGCCGAAGGUGAAGCCAGCGACUGGGGUGAAGUCGUAACAAGGUAGC